UACGGAGGGGGCUAGCGUUGUUCGGAAUUACUGGGCGUAAAGCGCACGUAGGCGGCUAUUCAAGUCGGGGGUGAAAGCCCGGGGCUCAACCCCGGAACUGCCCUCGAAACUAGAUAGCUAGAAUCUUGGAGAGGCGAGUGGAAUUCCGAGUGUAGAGGUGAAAUUCGUAGAUAUUCGGAAGAACACCAGUGGCGAAGGCGACUCGCUGGACAAGUAUUGACGCUGAGGUGCGAAAGCGUGGGGAGCAAACAGG
rnacentral:rRNA from 1 species